AUUCCAGCUCCAAUAGCGUAUAUUAAAGUUGUUGUGGUUAAAAAGCUCGUAGUUGGAUCUCGGCGGUCUGAGGGCGGUUCGCUUCAGAGCGCUACUGCCCUAUAGACCGUAGUUUUGCCAGAGGUCUCAGGGUGCUCUUAACCGAGUGUCUUGCGAUGCUGGCAGGUUUACUUUGAAAAAAUUAGAGUGCUCAAAGCAGGCUUUUACGCCUGAAUAUUCGUGCAUGGAAUAAUAGAAUAGGAAGUCGUUUCUAUUUUGUUGGUUUUCGGAAUCGACUUAAUGAUUAAUAGGGACAGUCGGGGGCAUUUGUAUUCAAACGACAGAGGUGAAAUUCUUGGACCGUUUGAAGACAAACUACUGCGAAAGCAUUUGCCAAGAAUGUUUUCAUUG
rnacentral:rRNA from 1 species